rnacentral:rRNA from 1 species
GACGAACGCUGGCGGCGUGCUUAACACAUGCAAGUCGAACGGAAAGGCCCUGCUUUUGUGGGGUGCUCGAGUGGCGAACGGGUGAGCAACACGUGAGUAACCUGCCCUUGACUUUGGGAUAACUUCAGGAAACUGGGGCUAAUACCGGAUAGGAGCUCCUGCUGCAUGGUGGGGGUUGGAAAGUUUCGGCGGUUGGGGAUGGACUCGCGGCUUAUCAGCUUGUUGGUGGGGUAGUGGCUUACCAAGGCUUUGACGGGUAGCCGGCCUGAGAGGGUGACCGGCCACAUUGGGACUGAGAUACGGCCCAGACUCCUACGGGAGGCAGCAGUGGGGAAUAUUGCACAAUGGGCGGAAGCCUGAUGCAGCAAUGCCGCGUGCGGGAUGACGGCCUUCGGGUUGUAAACCGCUUUCGCCUGUGACGAAGCGUGAGUGACGGUAAUGGGUAAAGAAGCACCGGCUAACUACGUG